rnacentral:tRNA from 1 species
GAGAGUGUGGCUCAAGUGGUAGAGUGCCUGCCUGGCAAGCAUGAAGCCUUGAGUUCACAUCCCAGUACUUACA